rnacentral:tRNA from 19 species
GCGCCCCUAGCUCAGUUGGUUAGAGCAUCUGACUUUUAAUCAGAGGGUCCUCGGUUCGAGCCCGAGGGGGCGUACCA